GGAGAAGUAACCGGUGAGGGAUGGGUAUAAAGUCUGGACUCUUGACGAUUUCGUUAGAAAUUCAAAUCCAGAUAUCUUAGCGCGACUUGCGUAAACAAACGAGGUGGACCAAAAAGCGGUAGUUGGAGUGGAGGCAAAGUACUCAAGAACACGGUAGGAAGAGAACGUGGAUUCUGGAUGGCACCGGGUGGAGCAUCAUCGUGAGAGCCAAUUUCGCAGAACAGCCGACUUGCCCUUGAGCUACAUAUCCUGCAUUUGAUGGAAAACAUUGGAAAUAAAAAAAAAAUCGGUUCCCCUAAUCACAACCGAAUGAACGACCUGUAAAUCAUGGAGAAAUUAUACUGCAAGGGGUUCCCUUUUCAUGCAUCAUCGAGCAUUUCACAGCCCCAGGCGGAUCAAAUGGUGCUCUGGAACGAAACGAGUUGGAGAUACAGCUGUCGAAGAAGGCAUACUGCAUCGUUGAAUUGCCCCCCAGUGAAACUUGACCGAGAAUAAGCCACAUUAUCUCACCUGGUGAAUCUUACGUUGAGUUUACCAAUGAUCACCGAAUCGACGACCUGCCUCACGAUUCGAUAAUCGCUUCGGGGGUAUAUACACUCGAGGAGGACUUUCUGAUAGUCUCGACGAUAUUUCCGUGCGAUAUUCUUCCGUGUCCCUCGGAUUCUCCGUUCCAGGGUCAAACUGUUGGGGUCACCGAUCGCUCGUGGGGUCCAAUGUGUUCAUGUUGUUAUGCCUCCACGAAAUGCCAGUGUUUUAUUUUGGAUUUUUGAAAAGACACGAGUGAUUGAAUAAUCUCAGGGUUCAUGCCAAAUCAAUAGUCAUUAAUCUCAUCUUUUUUUUAAUCACUUUUUAUCGAAUAUGGAGCACCCUUCUUUCAUGAAUUUCAGUUGCUGCUCAACAGUUUAUUAAUUAAGCAUCUCAAUUAUGAUAUUUAG